GGUAACGCUGGCGGCGUGCCUAAACAUGCAAGUCGAACGGGUAGCCUUCGGGCUGCCAGUGGCAGACGGCUGAGUAACGCGUGGGUGACCGACCUCGAAGUGGGGAAUAACUGCCCGAAAGGGUGGCUAAUACCGCGUGUGCUCUGGUCUUCGGUGACCAGAGGAAAGUCCUUUCGGGACGCUUCGUGACGGGCCCGCGUCCGAUUAGCUAGUUGGUGAGGUAACGGCUUACCAAGGCGGUGAUCGGAGCUGGUCGUGAGAGGAUGAUCAGCCAGACUGGGACGUGAGAGACGGCCC
rnacentral:rRNA from 1 species